rnacentral:rRNA from 1 species
UUUUAAUGGCCGCAGUAUACUGACUGUGCAAAGGUAGCAUAAUCAAUAGUCUUUUAAUUGAAGGCUGGAAUGAAUGGUUGGACGAGAUAUUAACUGUUUCAUUUAAAUUUGUGAAAGAAUUUUAUUUUUUAGUUAAAAAGCUAAAAUUUAUUUAAAAGACGAGAAGACCCUAUAAAUCUUUAUAUUUAUUUUAUUAUAAUUUUUUAGGCAAUUUUUAUUUUAAUAAUUUGUAAUAUUUUAUUGGGGUGAUAUUAAAAUUUAAUAAACUUUUAAUUUUAUAAAUCAUUAAUUUAUGAAUUUAUUGAUCCAUUAAUAAUGAUUAAAAAUUUAAGUUACUUUAGGGAUAACAGCGUAAUUUUUUUGGAGAGUUCAUAUCGAUAAAAAAGAUUGCGACCUCGAUGUUGGAUUAAGAUAUAAUAUUAGGUG